UUGACGGUACCCUACUAGAAAGGAGCCGCUAACUUCGUGCCAGAAGCGUCGGUAAUACGGGGGCUCCAAGCGUUAUCCGGUGUUAUUGGGCGUAAAGAGUCGUGUAGGUGGUUGGGUAAGUUAUCUUUCAAAUAUCUUUGCUUAACAAAGAGGAGGGGGAUAAUACUGCUCGACUAGAAUUUUCUCAAGGGAGAUCGGAACUGAGGGAGGAGUAGUGAAAUGCGUUGAUACCCUCGGGAACACCAGUGGCGUAGGCGGAUCUCUGGGAGAAGAUUGACACUGAGACACGAAAGCUAGGGGAGCGAAGCAGAUUAGAGACCUGCGUAGUCCUAGCCGUAAACGCAUGCUUGCUAGCUGCAUGAAUCUACCUUCGGGUGGUAUCGUGUGGCGAAGGUAACCCGUUAAGCAAGCCGUCUGGAAAGUACGGCCGCAAGGCUGAAAUUCAAAGGAAUUGGCGGGGAGGCACACAACCAGUGGAACAUGUGGUUUAAUUCGAGACUAACCGAAGAACCUCACCAGGGUUUGACAUGUAGCUGCACGUCUUAAGAAAUUAAGACUCUCUUGAAGGUGCUACACAGGUGCUGCAUGGCCGUCGUCAGCUCGUUCCGUGAGGAGUGCCCUUAAGUGGGACAACGAGCGCAACCCCUAUUACAUGUUAGAAAUGUCAUGUAAGACUGCCUUGCCAUUUGGCGGGGAGGAAGGAGGGGCAGACGUCAAGUCCGCAUGGUCCUUAUGCCCUGGGCUACACACAUGUUACAAUGAGUACGGCAAUGAGUCUGUCGCGAGCACGUAAGUGUAAGCUAAUCUCUUAAAUGUACUCUCAGUGGGGAUUGAGGUCUGCAACUCGACCUCAUGNACACGGAAUUGGUAGUAAUCGCGGGUCAGCUAUACCGCGGUGAAUACGUUCUUGCCUCUUGCACACACCGCCCGUCAAACCAGCAAAGU
rnacentral:rRNA from 1 species